rnacentral:rRNA from 1 species
AAUGAACGCUGGCGGCGUGCCUAACACAUGCAAGUCGGAUGUGCCGCAAGGUGCAUGGCAGACGGGUGAGUAACGCGUAGGGAAUCUACCCUUUUGUGGGGAAUAACGCUCCGAAAGGAGUGGUAAUACCGCAUGAGACCGUGAGCUGGGAUGUUCACGGUGAAACCUGGGGACCGCAAGGCCUGGGGCAAAAAGAGGAUCCUGCGUCUGAUUAGCUAGUUGGCGGGGUAAUGGCCCACCAAGGCGACGAUCAGUAGCCGGCCUGAGAGGGUGAUCGGCCACACUGGAACCGAGACACGGUCCAGACUCCUACGGGAGGCAGCAGUGGGGAAUUUUGCGCAAUGGACGAAAGUCUGACGCAGCAACGCCGCGUGGGUGAUGAAGGUCUUCGGACUGUAAAACCCUGUCGUCAGGGACGAAGGUGGCAGUGUUAAUAGCGCUGUUACUCGACGGUACCUGGAGAGGAAGCCCCGGCUAACUCUGUG